UUAGGAAUUUUGCACAAUGGGCGAAAGCCUGAUACAGCAACGCCGCGUGGAUGAUGAAGGCCUUCGGGUCGUAAAAUCCUUUUCAGAGGGAAGAAUCGGACGGUACCUCUGGAAUAAGCCUCGGCUAACUACGUGCCAGCAGCCGCAGUAAUACGUAGGAGGCGAGCGUUAUCCGGAUUUACUGGGCGUAAAGAGCGUGUAGGCGGUUUCGUAAGUUGGGCGUGAAAGCCCCCGGCUUAACUUGGGAGGGUCGUUCAAUACUGCGGGACUUGAGGGUGGAUGAGGAGACCAGAAUUCCCGGUGUAGUGGUGAAAUGCGUAGAUAUCGGGAGGAAUACCAGUGGCGAAGGCGGGUCUCUAGGCCACUCCUGACGCUGAGACGCGAAAGCGUGGGGAGCGAACGGA
rnacentral:rRNA from 1 species